CGCACUCUUUAGGGGCACUAAUAUAACUUACUUGAGAAUAAAAAGUUUCAGUACAAAUCCACAGCGAACACAGACAUGCUUGCCCUAUAUUUGUUUAUUAUUGCAGCAGGUCUUCUGAUCGGAUAUUGCCGAGGCGAUGCCGUUUAUCAGUCACCUGCCGUCACUACAGUCACGGAAGGGGAAGUUGCAGUGUUAAAUUGUAAUUAUACAACAACAAGCACGAACCUCGAUUUAUUCUGGUACCGUCAGUAUCCCAGAGGUUCCCUCGAGUUUCUGUUGCACCUUACAAAAUAUGAUAGCCACCGAGAGAAUGUUCUACGACAACGCUUCACGGCGCAGCUUAAUGAUUCAAGUAGAACGGUCCCACUGACAGUAUCCGAAACACAUCUAGAAGGCACUGCCAUGUAUUACUGUGCUCUGAGACCCACAGGGAUAAAUAGCGUUCUCCUAGUUCAGGAUGGCCUGUCACAAAAAUAA